rnacentral:sRNA from 1 species
AGUAGGGAAAUAGAGACACAAAGAGGACAGUCACUCUCCUGACUCAUGCAAUUGUUAAAAAGGAAAAGGGAGCUGGGGAGUUAUUACUAUGAGAAGAGCGCUCUGAAUCCUCUGGGAUUUCAGAGGGACAAUGCUAUGGCCCCUGGAGACAAAUCCUACUUGCAACGCCUAGUAGAUGUAAGCCACCUCCUCCCCCAGUCCCAGUGCCCAAGUCUGUAAAACAAAAUGGAUAAGACUGGAGAGAUGGUUCAGUGGUUAAGAGCGCUUCCAACUCUUCCAGAGUUCCAUUCCCAGCAUCCCCACGUCAAGGGAAUCUGACACUUCAGGCUUCCACAGGCACACCCCCCCUCAACACACACACACCUAUACAUUCACUCAUAGAGACAUAUAGAUAAAUACAAAUAUAUAUGGUCUUAAGUCUUUUUUAUAAGACAGGCAUGGUGUUCCGUGCUUUAAUCUCAGAAUUUAAGAGGCAGAAACAGUAUUAUGUGCGUUCGAGACCAGCUGGAUAACACCGGGGUUUCUUCACAGCUUUUUAGCUUUUUUAGAUCCGAAAGGUGUAUACCGACUCCGUAGGGAAGCCACCGUUUUCAGCCAGUGUCCUCUAGAAACCCCUGUGGGUCAGCGGGGACAGGGCCUGGCGCGUGUAGGGAAGGUUGAUCGAUCUGUCUAUAGGACCUGAAACACCGGUAGUGCUGGAGAGGAAUUAGGAGACGGUCCCUAAAGCCACGUGAUGCUGAUCCUCUGCCUCCCUCCCAUUUAGUACCCGUUGCAGACGCUGUGCACGCCCGGCGCGCCGCCGGUCAGCACGGAAGAACCAUCCAACACGUCUUGAACCACCGAAUGGGGCGGGGCCUCCGCCCUCACCGUGAAGGCUCUCGGGAGCGUCCGAGUGCCAUGAACAAAGAUGGCGGACGAUACUCACCGGCUGAACCAAUCGAAAGAUAACUUGUUAGGACUUCGGAGAAAGUUGUCGCGAGAGGAGAGGAACAGACCGCCUCUGUCUAUGUGCCGGUUCCUGUGUUUGUCCGUGGGUCGCGAGAGGAGAAAAACAGACUGCGUCUGUCUCUGUGCGUGUGUCUCUGUGUGACUUUAGCCUGCUACUUGGCACCUGAGAAGUAGGCUCUGAUCCUAGCACUCCAGAGUGACACCAUUUUGAAGGGAAGGUUUUCUCACGUCUUGUACUGAAUGUGUCUGUGCAAGUACUUGCCAGGCUUGUUAUGGAAAUGCGCCUCUAAAGGGACAGACACCCUUUGGUAGGCUGGCAGGUGAGAAGGGCAUUAGCCGUGGUUUCCUCUGGGAAGAGGGUGGACACAGUUGGCAGAGGCCGCUUCUAAGCCUUGGCAACUGAACAGGCUUGCUUUUACUCUCACCCCGCUUCUUAGCAAGCUUGUUCCAUUUCACUCAAAUGCCCCUUCAGGACAGCUAAGCUGAGAACAAAGGCAGCAGGGCCUCCCUUCUGUGCUGCUCUCUGGCUUUCUCAGCGUCUUUCCCUUUUCUCACCCCUGGGUAAACUGCAACCAGCACAGCACCUAGUACUCAUUUCUCCUCAUCUCUACAAUAGUCCUGCAGAUCCAUACCCCUGCCUCUUGGUCCUGAUGACAGCCUUGGCAACCCAAGGUCAUCAUACUUUGAUCUCCUUAGACCAGCACUGAGAUGCUUUGCUCAACAAAAUACCUGCCCUCGAACACAAGGAAGGGUCUUCCUUACAGCAGGCACGGAGGAAGGGGCGUCACUGCCACCAUCGUCCAAAUGUCUCAGUGUGACACUAGUAUGUACUCACAGGCUCAUGGAUGCCCUGGAGGCCUUCAGGUAUAGGGCUUCUCAACAUGUGUUGGGUAAUUAGCCCCUUUGAGCAUCUUAAGGUUAUCAGGGGCCGUGUCUCAAAGGGAAAGAUGCUAUUCUUUUUUCUUUUCUUUUUUUUUUCUUUUUUGGUUCUUUUUUUCAGAGCUGGGGACCAAACCCAGGGCCUUGUGCUUCCUAGGCAAGCGCUCUACCACUGAGCUAAAUCCCCAACGAAAGAUGCUAUUCUUUAGGGAAGCAGGACAAAAGGUAUUCUCUUGCCCUCCCACAACAUAUGUCAUGGACAAUGUAUAAAUGACAGGUCUGGGGCCGAAGGUUUGGGUUUGAGCGCUUGCUUAGCAUGCAGGGAACUCUGGGUUGAGCUCCUGAUGCUUCAUAAUUAUUAGAUUCACAUUGGCUUCCUUUUGUUUUCCUUAUAUUCCAGACAGAGGAUUGAUUUUUAAAUCCAUGUGUAGGUGUGUUACAUUAUCUGUAAAUUUCAUUUCAGAAUAGCAAUGGGGACAGUAGACACUAUUUAUAAGAAGGAAAUGUUGGUUCUUAGAUUCAGAACCACUUCUCUGAGGAGUCCAUGGACCCCAGAAGGAAAUCUGCUCUGCCCACGUCUCUCGUAUUAUGGCAAAGGGAAACAAAGUCCGUUCUUUAAAGGUACUUGGAUUCCUAGCACUUUGGAAGAGUCAGUGACAAAGCUUGACAUUUUCAGCAAUAGGUACUGGUGCCCAGCUGGCCUCUUCUCCCUGGUGCUGUCCGACCUCUUCCUACAGCAUUUGAGAUCUUCCUAACUAUACUGUAUCCUCCCACUCAAAGCCCAGACUUUUCUUCACUCUUUCCAUCCCUAGUCGAACAUUUAACACAGUAGGCUCGCACUCAGAAAGUGAUUGGGAAGAAAAGGUGAGACCCAUCCAAAGGUUUAAUAUACCUGAACACAGGCCAGAGAAGCCCAGGAAGAUUGCGUUCAUACUAUUUGAAGCUGACAUAGCCAGAGGCUUGAUUGUCUAUGGGGUGGCAAUGCUGCACUGUACAGGGGUUAUCUGGCCUUCAGAAGCACUUCCCUCCCACAGGUAAGCUUUUACCUAAUCCAUGAUCUCAACAACCUACUUCCAAAUGACACCCGACCCCACCUCUCCUACCUCGCUGCCUCUCCAUCUGGGAAGGAGAACUUUAUGCCUCGACCUGACUCUGCUCCUCCAGCAAAUACACAGGUCGCAGACAGAUUCAGAAACCCGAGGCUGCUGUCAUCAUGGCGACUGACCAGCUCCACAACCUCAGGAACCUGCUUCAUCCGAGCUGCCUGCUGAGGACUGUGAAGACAGCAAAAUGGACGGAGGGUAUGUGAGAGGGCUUUGUAUAUUACCUCUCCCAGGAAAGGAUACAAACAUUAAAAUCAAAGCCAAAUGGGGCAAAGGCAGGAACUGUGGAGCUCGCGGCAGGACCAGAAGUCUUGAAUCCACGGGCUUUCACCCAGUGAUGCUGACCUCCCGUUUUCUCCCACCCUUCAUUGGGCCCAGUCAUGCCCCACGUAGCGAGCACUUCACUGUACACUGUACCCUGCCCGCUUCACCUGUGUGCCUAUUGCCUUUGGGCUAAUUGGCUGCAUUUUGUUGUUUUUCUAACCAAAUCCUCUCCUGAUUGGAGCAAUUAAUUAACUCUCGAAUUGACUCUCAAUGCUGAAAACCAUUUCCCCAGGAAAUACCAGCCUGGCACCGUCCCUGAAUACCAGAAACCACUCUAACGAUGGAGACCAUUCAGCAGACUAUAAGCCAGCAGCUCCAGGCCAGGCACUAGCCUGUAUCCUCUGCACAGAUGACUGGAACCCUGACCGCCCUGUGGCUCCACCCUCAGUGGGCUCCUCCUACUCUGCCUGCACUUGAACUUGGAUAUCCCAGGGAGUUCCCUUCAGACUCCUGCAUGCUCAGCAUAGGUAAGUCUUGCAUGGCCAGCCUCAGGGUUCCACACUCGUCCUAAGAGUUGUCACUCUGGCUGAAUAUUACUAUCCAUUCAUGCUUUUAACUUCCGUGCCGCCUGUUGAAUUCUGAUGUUUUGCUUUCUAGGUAAGCUGUAAGUCCAGCCAGUCUUUCCUCCUUUUUCCCUGAGGCCGCUGCCUCAGUUUACCCCAUCUCUUACCUGGGCAACAGCAUGGCGUGCGAACCAGCCUCUGGCUGUCAUGGCCUUGUUGGUAAGUACAAGCCAGUUGAAACUCUGACUGUGGUGCUCUCUGCCAAGCACUUCUCUGGUUCUCAGGGCCUAAAGAGUCAUGCUCUAGCCUCUCAACCUGGUGUCCUGGUAUCCAUGUGGCCUGGCUCCGGCUCCCUCUCCAGCCUCACCUCUUGCUGCCCCGGGCCUCAUAGCCUUUACUCAGUGCUCCUCUUUCUGCUUUGUUUCAUGUGACCAGCUCAAUCCUGCUGCCGUAUGGCGCUUGGGUGGACAUGGCUCUCAUCUCAACUCUGGGGGGAUGGGUGUUGCGCCUAGGUGUGACGGUGCCCCGUGGCUUCCUUUGUUCCAUGUACCACGUUUCUCUUCCCUGAGAGCUAGCCAAGGGACUCUGUCUUAAUAAUCUUGGCAGCCUCACACCUCGUCCUGGAUCUAGCACAGAAAAGGUACUUGCCCUAAAAUGAUCUCCGUGGCACCGUCUUGAUGCUCUUUCUAGUGCCUUCUGGUUUGUUCCAUAGCCUCUUCUCUGCAGUCCUCGCUCCCCUUAGGGCUAAGCACUGGGAUUCUAUUCAUCUCUGAUUGCAUGGUAAGCCCAGUGCUUGCUUCUCAAGUUACGCGAGAAAAAGGUGUCCUUAUGAAACCAGGAAGGCACAGACUGUCUCUACUUAUCCCUGUAUCCCAACUACUCCUAAAGCAGAAGGCAGCCCCAGAGGCUGAGGCAUACCUCUAAAGCAGACCUGACUCAGACCACACACCCUGCAGUUUGGGC